rnacentral:rRNA from 1 species
CGCGGCCUAUCAGCUUGUUGGUGGGGUAACGGCCCACCAAGGCUUCGACGGGUAGCUGGUCUGAGAGGACGAUCAGCCACACUGGGACUGAGACACGGCCCAGACUCCUACGGGAGGCAGCAGUGGGGAAUCUUGCACAAUGGGCGAAAGCCUGAUGCAGCAACGCCGCGUGGGGGAUGAAGGCUCUCGGGUUGUAAACCCCUUUCAGCAGGGACGAAUCUGACGGUACCUGCAGAAGAAGCCCCGGCCAACUACGUGCCAGCAGCCGCGGUAACACGUAGGGGGCAAGCGUUGUCCGGAUUUAUUGGGCGUAAAGAGCUCGUAGGCGGUUCGAUAAGUCGGGUGUGAAACCUCCAGGCUCAACCUGGAGACGCCACCCGAUACUGUUGUGACUGGAGUCCGGUAGGGGAGCGUGGAAUUCCUGGUGUAG